UAAAAUAACAAGCCACCGUCGCUUGAAGUCAUCGCCGCAACAACUAUUACCUCUCCGCAAUAGCUCUCUGCCUCUCUUCACUACUGUCGUCGUCGUCGGACUCCUCUCUACCUCUCGGCACUCACCGCCACCAACCGUAGGACUCCUCUCUGCCUCUCUGCACUGACCAUCGUUGGCCACACGACUCCACUCUGCCUCUCCUCACUCGCCAUUGUCUACCACAAGACUUCCAUCUCUCCAUAUCAUAGGACCACAGCAAGAGUAAGCAAGCUCUUUGCUAAUCACUCCACACUCUACAUCAAGCCAAAAGCUCAAAGCUAAAGUCAAAUUUGAGAAAUGUGAGUCGUGGAGAUAUCUGUGCUAAUACUAAAUAUCAUGUUGGAAAGUUUGGGCUGAUAAAGUUUUGGUGGAAAAGGUGGACCUAAUUCGACCAAAUGAUGAAAUGCAGUUUCUCGAUGACAUAAUAGGAAGCACGAUCGCAUGGUUAUCUAAAUUUAUAAUAUUGUGUGAUUGAUACAAAAUAUACUAAUUUGUGUGGAUUGUAAGUUUAAUUGUUGUUAUGUAAUAACUAGUUUGA